rnacentral:lncRNA from 1 species
GCAGUUCCCUCUUCCUGCUGGUCCAGGCAGCACGGUGCUUUGAAUAAAGGUCAGCUAGAGGGGUCACCCGCCGAUUAUUCUCUUCUACUGGCAAGGAGGAGGAAGCCCCUGCCCCCUUAUCCACCACAAAAUCCUGGGCUUCCCCGACAGCUGCAAAUUCCUCCCUGGAGAUGUAAGGCUUCUGGGGUUGCCAUGGUCCAUGGGAGUGAAAUGCUGGCCGCCCUCUGCUACCCCAGCCCCGAGCAGGCUGUUGCAGCCUUCCCUCCUGUCCCUUUCAAAAGCUUUUAAAGGAAAUCCCAGGGGGGAAGGAGGAUGGGACACUAACCAGGGCUUCCGUCCAAGCAGCCAGGGCGAAUAAAAGGGGCUUUUCUCAAACGAACGGA